AGGGGUCAAACCACAAAGUGUGUCCUGGGGGAGAGUGCUGCCCGCCAGAGGUGUUGGUGUCGGGGUAAAGCCCGGAGUGGCAGGGGCACUGGGAGCACUGGGGAGCCGAUAUGGCAACAAAGGGAUGAAGACUGGACUUGGACGUUAUGGAGCCCAGCUUGGUAAUGGAGGUUACAGAGCUCUCGGACUGGGAGGUAGAACAGGGGGAUACGGGACCCCGGGAGGCUACGGCGGCGGCAUGGGUGCAGGACUGGGCGCCGGGGGCGGCCUCCCCAACGGACUGACCCUCGGGUUGGGUCAGGGGGGAAAACGUGGUGAGACACACGACAAGCGUAACAGCUCUGGAAGUCAGGCUUUAAAAUGAAUCGCACAACGAUGGAGCUUUAUUAAACUGGAGUUGAUGCAGAUAGAAG
rnacentral:lncRNA from 1 species